rnacentral:lncRNA from 1 species
GCCACCACCAAAGCACAAGCCACCACAUGGACAUCUUUUGGCCGAGGAAGAAGUUGAGGACUCACACAAGGGAAAGGGAGAGAAGCCACCACCAAAACACAAGCCUCCGCAUGGACAUCUUUUAGCUGAAGAAAAAGUUGAGGACUCACACAAGGGAAAAGGAGAGAAGCCACCACCAAAACACAAGCCCCCGAAUGGACAUCUUUUAGCUGAAGAAGAAGUUGAUGACUCACACAAAGGAAAGGGAGAGAAGCCACCACCAAAGCACAAGCCACCACAUGGACAUCUUUUGGCCGAGGAAGAGGUCGAGGACUCAUACAAAGGAAAGGGAGAGAAACCACCACCAAAACACAAACCUCCACAUGGACAUCUUUUAGCCGAGGAAGAAGUUGAGGACUCACACAAGGGAAAGGGAGAGAAACCACCACCAAAACACAAGCCCCCACAUGGACAUCUUUUAGCCGAGGAAGAAGUUGAUGACUCGCACAAGGGAAAGGGAGAAAAGCCACCACCAAAACACAAGCCACCUCACGGGCACUUAUUAGUUGAAGAGGUUGAAGACUCACACAAGGGGAAAGGAGAAAAACCACCGCCAAAGCACAAACCACCUCAUGGACACCUUUUAGCUGAAGAGGCCAACGACUCUCACAAAGGAAAGGGAGAGAAGCCACCAUGCAAGUCUCCUCACAAACCCCCAUCAGCCAACUAAGUGCCUUACGCUAAUUUCGCUAGAUGCUUAAAAAUAAGAAACAGAAGUAGUUUACUCUUCUGUUGGUUUCUGUAUCUGCAUUUUUCACUGAAUUAGUAUUUGUACUUUGGCUUGUAUUAUAUGAGUACUACCCUCUAGUUGGCUGUUUUAUGUAGAUUAUGGUUUUAUGUUCUAGUGCUGCGCGUAUUAUUUCAGUUGACUUAACUUUUAUUUGCAAAAUAUACAGCAAGACAUGCACACAAUCCUAGUACGUAGUUUUGCCACAUGCAUAUAUUUGGUGGUAGGAUAUUGUCAACGACAACAACGUUUAAUUACUUUAACUUAAACACGUGCUGAUGAUUUUUUUUUUUGUAAAAGCCCUUUAUUAGUAAACUAGUAUUACUCUGACAUCAACAGAUAUACCAUAGGUUUUGUCUAAAACUUGAAGGUUUCUGUAGUUUAAUUUGGUAAGUAAAAUUUUUUGUGUGUAGCACAUAAUGAAUAUGUUACUUACAUGUGUAGAUUUAUAUUUUACAUUUUAUUUUAAUAUUAGAUAAUUAAUAUAUAUAUAUUUAAUUAUUUAAAUUUAUAUAUAUUACUAAUUUAUUAAUUUAGUCUAUAUAUAUAUAUGAUAUACAUUUAAGUUAAAUUAGGUAAGAAGUUAUUAAGUACUUCCAAAUUAAUAUGAAAUAAUUCUCUAAAGGAAAUGAAUCAACUCUUGGAAAAUGUCGGGAGAAAAGAUUUCAAAUUUCUGCAUGUCUCUGUUUCUGCUCAGUGGAUGUCUCUGUUUCUGCUUGCUGCCUAUGUUGCAAUAUUUAUUUGGCUUUUUAUUCCUGGUAAAUUUCUUAUUUUCCUCUUAAUUUUGACUAGGCCGGCUGAUUCGGGAGUAAGAUUUAAGUAGUUUUAUAUUUAAUGAAAAGUAGAAUUCUGAAGAAGCGAAAAUAAAUAUAAAAAGGGAUAAUUGGUGUUCUGAGUGAAUCAUUAUUAAACACAAAAUUAGUAUUACAAACAAAAUUGCAAUUAUCAAAAUGACAGUAUGCUCCACAGAUAGAUGAUUAUCUAAUCAGUACUUAUAAUUAGCCUAAAUUUAAUAGGAAUAGUACAGAAUUAAACUUUCUUUUUUAAAAAAAGGGUCAUUAAACUGAAUCAUAAGAACAGGAUAGAGAGUAUUUGUAAUCAAAGAAACAUAGAGAGAAUUCAAAGUAAUGCCCCCAGAUGAUAGCCCUGAACAAUAAAUAUUACUUAGAAAAACAAACUGCCAAGAGAAAUUAGUCAAUAAAAUUUAGAUUGAAUCACGAUAUUUAUAAACGAGUAGAUAAAUAUAUCUUUUUUAUUAAAAAAUAAUAUUGCAUAAUUCAUCUUAAUUUAUUUCAACUUUUACUCAUAAAAUGUGAUAUAUAAUAUAUUUAUAAAAUUAUUAAUAUUUUGAUAUUACUCUCUUAAUUAAUAAAUAAUUCCAUAAAAACAUCAUACACCAUAUUAUAUAAACAAUAGUUGGGACAAAUCAAAAUGAAAUGUUUAGCAUUUUUCUAGUUAAAACCUAUUCUACAAUUCAAACCAAAAAUAGCAGUCCAAGAAAGCAUAUCUUUCACUAAUAAUCCAAACAAAUCGCUAAUUCUAAACAACCACGUUUUGGUUAAAAGAUUAUUAAUUUAGUUUGUCUAAUAAUUCGAUCCUGAAUUUGCUGAGCCGCAGUAGGAUCUCGCUCGUAUAUACAAAUCCUGAAGAAGAUCACUAUAAAUUUCUGAUCCAAUAAUGAAACUUUGAAGUCCAUAAGUAGGUUUAGGAGAAAUUUAAAGGCAGAUUCAGUUUUAAUAUUAAAUUAUAAAUAAUAUCAAUUAUACAGUAAUAUAUAACAUUAUUUACUGAUUAUUACACUUAUAUCAGUUGAAUUCUAGCCAUAAAUAAUGAAUGGUAUGGAUAGUAGUACUUAAAAAGAAUAAUCUCCAUAUAUAUAUAAAUGCAUGGAAUUUAAUAACUUUCACACCUAUGAAAUUAUCCCACCUAAAACAGAAAACCUUAGUAUUAAAUUGAGAAUAAUGCAGAAAUAUAAAUAUUUGAAAUAAUUACAAAUAAUGCAGAAAUACAAGGACCGCAGGAAAACAGAGGCCACACACUCUUGGCUGGAAUGAUUUUCCUAUUUUUGCAUGCUCACCCAUUACUCUACUCUAUCGCAUUAUUAUUGUUCAAAACUUCACAACUUAACAAAUAUACUUCCAACACAUCACAUGCGUGACCCAUUAAUUAUUACAUGUGAACGUAAAAUGAGAAGUGGUGACAACAGCAGUGAUGUCACACUUUCUGAUAUUACUACAAUUCUUGGAUGACUUACCUUAAUUCCUUUCUGGUGCAUGUUGCAGUAAUUUAUUAGAAAUACAUAAGACCUUUUUUUUCUUCCUAUCUCUUUGUUUCAUUGUAGAAUAGUCCGAGACAACGAUAAUAUCUUACACUUAAUUUGUCUGUAAAUAUAUAUACACUUGACUUUACAUGCUAUAGUAUUAUUAACUAGUCACCUAGACAGAUUUGAAGUAGAUAAUAUUUAUCGAUAAAUUACUUUCUAGAUUUCUAUUUUAUGGUUACAUACAUCAAAAUUUCUGCAAAACAAGUGGAGAAUAGCCUAAUUUGGGGAUUCAAAGAAACUUUGAUGGCUUCUUUUUCUACUCGAAAUUAUACUAAAAAUAAUUCAUAAACAUGAAUGAUCCAAGGGUGGAGAGCAAGACUCUUAGCCAGUUUGUCAAAAAUUUUAACUCGAUGGGACCCAAUAGAUCUAAUUGGUUCGUAAGAGAGCCAAAUGUAUUCAACUUCACUACAUAGUGUACUAAUCUAUAGUAAAGGACAGGUGCAGUAUGACAUGGGUGGUGACGACAUAGUCCCACCGUCCACCCAUGCAAUAUUAUAAAAGGCAGAGCAAAGCUUCAAGUUUUGCACCAUCAACUGAACCCCAAAUAUGUCUUCUAAAUACUUGCUAGUGUUGUUCCUCCUCGGAGCAUUAGUGCUUCUCUUCACAACCCCCUCAUAUGCUGAUCAUCAUGAGCCCCUUAGAAAUAAAGGAGAGAAACCACCUCCAAAACAUAAACCACCACAUGUUCAUCUUCUAGCUGAAAAUAUAGAAGAUUUUCAUGGACAUGCAAAAGGUAAAAGAGACAAGCCACCACCUAAACAUAAACCACCACAUGGACAUCUUUUAGCUGAGGAAGUAGAUGAUUAUUCUACAUCUCCGGGAUGGAAACUACAUAAUCCUCCAUCAGAGCAUAAACCACCGCAUAAGCCUCCACAUGAGCAAAAGCCACUAAAUAGACGUCUUUUACAAGUAGAUAUUGAGGAUGCACAUAAAGAAAAGGGAGAGAAGCCACCACAUGGACAUCUUUUGGCCGAGGAAGUUAUGGAGGACUCGCCUAAGAAAAAGGGAGAGAAGCCACCACCAAAGCACAAGCCACCACAUGGACAUCUUUUGGCCGAGGAAGAGGUCGAGGACUCACACAAAGGGAAGGGAGAGAAGCCACCACCAAAGCACAAGCCACCACAUGGACAUCUUUUGGCCGAGGAAGAAGUUGAGGACUCACACAAGGGAAAGGGAGAGAAGCCACCACCAAAACACAAGCCCCCGCAUGGACAUCUUUUAGCUGAAGAAAAAGUUGAGGACUCACACAAGGGAAAAGGAGAGAAGCCACCACCAAAACACAAGCCCCCGCAUGGACACCUUUUAGCUGAAGAAGAAGUUGAUGAUUCGCACAAGGGAGAGGGAGAAAAGCCACCACCAAAACACAAGCCACCUCACGGGCACUUAUUAGUUGAAGAGGUUGAAGACUCACACAAGGGGAAAGGAGAAAAACCACCGCCCAAGCACAAACCACCUCAUGGACACCUUUUAACUGAAGAGAUCAACGACUCUUACAAAGGAAAGGGAGAGAAGCCAC